ensembl:lncRNA
GUUUAACUCAUGGCUCCAUCCACUUUCGCUUUUGCCUUUCCAGAUACAAAAUCUUUGCCCAACUCUCCCUGCAGGAGAGAUGAGGAUUUGCUAUGGAAGGACGGCUACAAGGAGUUGUUAGGCUCAACUCUACAAGACAGAGAACAAGACACACGGAGUUUUCACUCAUAUAAAAAGUGCAGUGGGGGGCAGUCCAUGACUUCACGGAGAUGUCAAGGAGGGGGCUUCCAUUCCCAAGACCGUCUCAUGGCCCACACUGGCUGAGGUCGCUCUGGCUGUCAUGUCCGCCCUCCAGGCCAGCAGCAGGAGGAAAGAGAAAGGCACAUUCUCAUGUUUUUAAGGAAACUUCCUGGAAAUCUCAGUUUAUACUUAACAUCUCUUUGGCCAAAAGUUAGUCACAUUACUAAGCUUGACAGCAGAGGAGGCUGGAGAAGGUGGGCACAAUUGCAGGGGCGUAUUUGGGCACAUGCUUCCCCCAGGGGAGGCAGGGGUUCCAUCAGGGGCGGGGAGAAGAGAACUGAUGUUCAUCGGCAUCUAGCAGUGGCUUCCACCAGCGCCACGAGAGGGUGGGAGCCUCGAACAUUCAAAAUGAGAUUAUGUGACACAGGCCAGGAUGAGGGCAGGGUGAGACCUUGGGCGCCAAGUUUAAAGGCACCCAAAGUCAGUAACCAGGACAGAUCGUUUUCAAUGUAAUAUUUUUAGAAAUCAAAAUUAAUGCUGAAAACUCCAUGAGGAAUAAACUAUCAAAAUUUUAAGUGAAGACAGGAUCCGCAGCGAGUCGGCAGCCGUGCGAGACCAGAUCCCAGCUUGAGAGAACACCUCCUGACGCUGGCGCCGCAUCAGGCGCUCGUGCAGCCACCGUGGCCCGGCCGGCCUGGUGGCGGGCUUCUCCCGCUGGAGGAAGAGGAGCGACACUGAAUAAGAUCUGUGGCUCAACUUCCCCUCUCGCCCCUGUGCCCCGAGGCUGAAUCUCCCUAAGCUCCCUCCGUUGUCCUGCGGUGUAGACACUGAGCUGGGAGCCAGUGGAGCAGCCUCAGUGCCUGUGGCCGAGGCUAGAGGCUGGGGGUCGAGGCCCGCAGGGCAGAGUGAGGACGCAGCAGGGACGUCGCCUGGGCAGGACCAGUCCUGGGGGAGCUGUCAGCCUCUUCCCUGAGGACACCUCACCCCGGGGCCCCUCGAGCAGGGACAGGCAGCUGAGCACCGUCCCCCGCCCAGUCUCCCAUCCUUGCCCAGCCCCUGCACUCAGGCCAGGCAGGCCAGGUCCCCACCCCGCACGGAGGUGAGGACGCCCCAGCUGAUCCCUGAGUGACCCCGUGGAGGGCUGCAGCCAGGGCCCUGAAGGCCUGAACACACUGCCUUGACGUGCUGGAACCAAGAGGAACACUGGGUUCAGCUGUGGCCACUGCAUUUGGAGUUUACCUGUUAAAGCAGCGUAGUGACCAAAGCCCCGACAGGGUCACGUCUGCGCUGGACGAGCCCUCACUGUGCCCGUGGGUGGAACCUCACGGGAACGGGGCCAGCCCCCGGGAGCUGUAGGUCCUUCUGGCCGAGCUCCGUGGGCCGCCACCUCUGCACGGCCCGACGAGUGCGCAGCCAGGCUCGGGAGGUGCUGCCGGCGCCCCACGCUGGAUCUUCCCUGCCCUUGGAGAGGCCUUGCGUCUGACGACACCAUGGGGUCUGACGACACCAUGGGGCAGGACAGAGGCCAGCAGCUGGCCCCGCCCCUCCGAGACCCACUCCUGCUCUGUCCCCAGGUACUCCAGCUUCUGGGCCAGGAUGCCUGCGUGUGACUUGGGCCGUUUCCUC